CUUGCGCAAUGGGCGAAAGCCUGACGCAGCGACGCCGCGUGUGGGAUGACGGCCUUCGGGUGUAAACCACUGUCGGGAGGGACGAAAGAAAUGACGGUACCUCCAAAGGAAGCACCGGCUAACUCUGUGCCAGCAGCCGCGGUAAUACAGAGGGUGCGAGCGUUGUCCGGAAUUACUGGGCGUAAAGGGCGCGUAGGCGGCCCGAUAAGUCGGGGGUGAAAUUCAGCGGCUCAACCGCUGGACUGCCUUCGAGACUGUCAGGCUCGAGCACGGUAGAGGCUGGUGGAAUUCCCGGUGUAGCGGUGGAAUGCGUAGAGAUCGGGAAGAACAUCGGUGGCGAAGGCGGCCAGCUGGGCCGUUGCUGACGCUGAGGCGCGACAGCGUGGGGAGCAAACAGGAUUAGAUACCCUGGUAGUCCACGCCGUAAACGAUGGGUACUAGGCGUCGGGGGGAGCGACCCCUUCGGUGCCGUCGUUAACACAGUAAGUACCCCGCCUGGGGAGUACGGCCGCAAGGCUG
rnacentral:rRNA from 1 species